AACGUAGGUGGCGAGCGUUAUCCGGAAUUACUGGGCGUAAAGCGUGUGCAGGCGGGCUGACAAGUGGGGUAUGAAAUCUUCCGGCUUAACCGGGAGCGGUUGUGCCAGACUGUCAGUCUUGAGUGCGAGAGAAGAGCGUGGAAUUCCGGGUGUAGUGGUGAAAUGCGUAGAGAUCCGGAGGAACCCCAGAGGCGAAGGCGGCGCUCUGGCUCGCAACUGACGCUCAGACACGACAGCAUGGGGAGCGAACGGG
rnacentral:rRNA from 1 species